ensembl:lncRNA
GUCAGCAAGAAGGCGAUGCGUAUCAACGGGACAAAUUCCAAGUCCAAACUCCCUCCACAGACCAGCCCAGCUCCGACCCCCUGCAUCUCCCACCACACAUCCUUCCAGCCCGCUGGUCUAAGCAGCAGACUUCUCACUGGUCCCCAGCUUGCCUCCAGCCUCGGUUGUUGUGGUUACAACCCCCAGCCCUGCACCGUGCCUAUUUUUAAAGAAUCACUUCAAACAUCACCACCUCUGUGAAGACUCUCACCCUCUGGCAUUUACCUAGGCAACUGGUCACUCCACCCAGGCCUGCUCCUGCCCUUGGACGUCCCUCCAUUGUGAUCCUUACUGCCCAGGGCCGCUGGGAAGUACCCGAGAACCUGCCCCUCAUCAGGAAUAUGAGAGAGUGUUUGUGAGAAGUGAUCUCACUAGAGAUGGAGCAGAGGUGUGUCUGCCUGUGAUGUGGACCCACUGGAGGACCAUUGUCAGCUCAGAGUUACUCCAAAAUCCUCCUGGUAAAUUUGUUUUAAUUUUAUCUUUAUUAUUAGUGAUUUUCCCAUCAUUGCAGAACAAAAGGGUGAUCUCCAUUGCACAGUCUGGCGCUGGUUCACGCAACCACAGCUCCUGGACUACAUUUCUCACUGUGCACCCCCUCAGCAGUCUUCUUGAGCAAAGACACCUACGAUCUCUAAAAGCUUUAGAAAUGCUGUGGGAACCAUCACCCUCUUGGAGAACCACACACGUUAAGGGUCCUGAGAAGCCCUGCAAUAGAGAAACACGAGAAAGGGGGCUUCCCUGGAGGCUCAGUGGUAAAGAAUCUGCCUUCCAGUGCAGCUUCCAUCCCGGGUCUGGGAAGAUCCCACAUACCUCAAAGCAAUUAAGCCCAUGCACCACAACUACUGAGCCUGUGCUCCAGAGUCCAGGAGGCACAGCUCCCGAAGGCCGUGCUCUGCAACAAGAGAAGCCACCACAGUGAGAAGCUCGCGCACUGCAACGCAGAGUAGCCCCCGCUCAUUGCGACUAGAGAAACCCCGAGCGCAGCAAUGAAGAAAUCAAUCAAUAAGAUUAUUUUUAAAGAACGGAUGCAUUUAAAAAGAAAAAAACAAUGAUGAACCUCUGUUGAAUGUUCUCCCAAUGUCUUUGAUCACAGAACACUUUUAUUCAAGUCUCAUCUUAUAAAAUCUGAAGAUACAAAUUUUCUUCAGAACAGCUGCUGGGCAACAGUUCUAUCUUAGCCGAGCCAUUGAGGACUGAGAAUACUUGGAUCACUCUCCAGCUGAUCCUGGGAAGGAGAAAGCGGAGUAGAGAAGUGAUGGGCGAGCCCACAGAAGAGACCCUUUCUGGGAUCCUGGUGCGUGACCCCACUUGCCCGCUGGUCUCCUCCAGGAGGCUUUGGCUGUCACAGGUGUCCCCAGGGCAGUACGCUGCCAGCACUGGUCUGACAGGUAUGAGAGCCAGCGGGGAGGGCUAAAUAUGGUCUUGGCACAUGGGCUGAGUCACCUUUGGAAGGAUCUUUGCUGGAACAGGAACUGGCACACACAGAAACAGCAGCAAAACAUAAGGCCACGCUCACCUCGAAGUUAGUUCUCUGGUUCCUUGUGCAAACCCAGGACAGACCCUGUAGAAUGAGAGCGCUGCGGGCAGGGGAUUCAGAGCCCAACAGAGAGGCCUGUCGCUCUCUAAAUUAGGAAACACGCCUAUUGCUGGGGGCUUCCCAGGUGGCGCAAGGAGUAAAGAAUCCACCUGUCAAUGCAGGAGACACAAGAGAUGUGAGCUCCAUCCCUGGGCGGGGAAGAUGCCCUGGAGAAGAGAAUGGCAACGCAUUCCUGUAUUUCUUGCCUGGAAAAUCCCAUGGACAGAGAAGCCUGGCAGGUUAUAGUCCAUGGGGUCACAAAGAAUCAGACGAGACUGAGCACGCACACACCAUGCCAGAUGCUGCCUGCGGGUCUCUGGAGAUUUGAAAGGAUUGACGAUUUGCCUACUCUUGCCAUUUCAUAUAGAUGGAAUCAUACAAUAUGUGGCCUUUUGUGACUGGCUUCCAUGACAUAAUGUCUUCAAAGUUCAUGCAAGUUAAUGAUAUUCCAUUGUCUGGAGAUACUGCAUUCUGUUUAUCCCUUCAUCAACUGGUAGACAUCUCAUGGACACAUUUUGUGUGAAAAGGUGUUCAAGCCUCUUGGAUAUAUACCUCACAGUGGAAUUACUGGGUCAUUUGGUAACUCUGUUUCAAGGAUGCACCCACUGUUUUCCAAAGCAUCUACAGCAUUCUACAUCCCCACCAGCAAUGCAUGAGAGCUCCAAUCUCCCCCACAUCUUUACCAAUACCCUUUAUUGUCCAUCUUUUUUAUUCUAGCAGUCCUAGCAGGUAUGACAGAGAAAGCAAUGGCACCCCACUCCAGUAGUCUUGCCUGGAGAAUCCCAGGGACGGGGGAGCCUGGUGGGCUGCCGUCUAUGGGGUCGCACAGAGUCGGACACGACUGAAGAGACUUAGCAGCAGCAGCAGCAGGUGUGAAGUGGGUUUUGGUUUGCAUUUCCCUAAGAACUAAUGACAAACAGCGUAUUAAAAAGCAGAGACAUAAUUUUUCUGACAAAGGUCCGUAUUGUCAAAGCUAUGGUUUUUCCAGUAGUCAUGUAUGGGUGUGAGAGUUGGACCACUAAGAAGGUUGAGUGCCGAAGAAUUGAUACUUUUGAACUGUGGUGCUGGAGAAGACUCUUGAGAGAGUCCCUUGGACAGCAAGGAGAUUAAACCAGUCAAUCCUAAAGGAAAUCAAUCCUGAAUAUUCACUGGAAGGACUGAUUCUGAAGCUGAAGCUCCAAUACUUUGGCAAUCUGAUGUGAAGAGCCAACUCCUUGCAAAAGACUCUGCUGCUGGGAAAGAUUGAAGGCCGGAGGAGAAGCGGGUGACAGAGGAUGAGAUGGUUGGAUGCCAUCACCAGCUCAAUGGACAUGAGUUUGAGCAAGCUCCAGGAGCUAGUAAUGCACAGGGAAGCCUAGCGUGCUGCAGUCCAUGGGCUCGCAAAAAGUAGGACACGAAUGAGCGACUGAACAACAACAAGGAGCCAAUGAUGUGGAGCAUCUUUUCCUGGUUUGAAUCUUUGAUGUAUAGAUUGCAUUUGAGUCUUGCAAAGAGGACACAGUAGGCAGUCGUUCCUAAGGCACGGGACCACGGUUCAUCCUUGCACAGGGCAGCUCCUGGAAUGUGAGCUUCCAGUGCAGAGCUAGAAUGCACUGCUCCAAAGCUGUCUGUGUGCAGCAAUGUGAGCUUGGGGAACAUCUUUAGGGUAUUAUUUUUACAAGCUUUUCUCAAAGUAGAAACUCCUUAACUCUUUGCCCUUUUGCAUGGAACUUUGUCAAGGGUAAUUUUGGCUAAAACAAAAAGGGAAAAGAAGGGACUUCCCUGGCAGUCCAGUGAUUAAGACUUCGUCUUCUACUGCAGGAAGUGUGAGUUCGAUCCCUGGUUGAGGAACAAAGAUCCCACAUGCCUCGUCAUGGCCAAAAAAAAAAAAAAACAUAUAAAACACAAGCAAUAUUGUAACAAAUUCAAUAAAGACUUUAAAAAUGGUCCCCACCCAAAAACAAAAAAUCUUAAAAAAAAGGGAAGGGCUCCCCUGGUUGCUGAGUGGUAAAGAAUCCACCUGCCAACGCAGGAGACAUGGGAUCAAUCCCUGGUCUAGGAAGAUCAUGCUGCAGAGCCAUGAAGCUGCUGCACCAUAACCACUGAACCUUGAUCUGGAGCCUAGGCCACACAGCUACUGAAGCCCACACAGCCAGAGACUGCUCCACAGGAAGAGGAGGCCCCGCAAGGAGAGGUCCUCACGCCUGAGUUAGAGAGUAGCCCCUGCCAGCUGUGACUGGAGAAAGCCUGAGCAGCAACAAAGACCCCGCACAGCCAAAAAUAAAUAAAUACUUUUUUUUAAGGGAAAAGGAGGCUAAAAUCUAUCUCCUUGAAAAAUUGUACAAUUUCUGCUGUUUGAUGGAGAGGUUUGAGGAAGGUGGACCCCCUGUGUCCCUUCUCAGGGCCACCAGUGGCCAACUCUGCAAGACUGUCCUCAUGCUUUUGCUUCCGAAAUGGUUUGGGCACAGCUGGAGACAUGGCAAGGGGCAUCUUGGUGGUGCAGAGUUGUCUCAGCUUGACUGGGACUCCAGGUUCCCAGAGGUCCCUGCACGGAGACAUGGAGGCACACCAGUCCCAGCUCUGUCCCAACACGGGUAGUGACGAGAUUCUGGGUGUCCUGGGCUUUAUAAGCCAAGCAGGCCAUAGGCCAGAAUGUCCCAAGUGCUGGAGAAGCAGUGGCCAUCUGCUGGUCUGUCCAUUGCUCUGGUGUCUUCUCAGGAGCAUCUUCCCUUUGUGAACCAUGACCUCAGCUGGCCCUGUAAGGGUCCAUGCCCCUGAUUUCCCGGGGUGUCUCUGCUGAUCCUGUGAUGAUGGGCUUUGAUUCUCUGCUGGAGCCUUCCUGAAGCCCAGUGUGGUCUCCAGACACAGUACCCAUCUUUCCCCACUGUUGACCUGCCUCACAAGCCAGGCAUGGCCUCUCAUCUGAGCCCCAUGAGAAGCGGAAGUUUUGUCCUCAAUAUAAUUCAAAUGUGUCCCUUCUUUGAACAUCCAAAACCAUGAUAGGGGAUUUUUUUUUUUUUUUUUAGUAAAGAGAUAGGGAUGAAAAGGGGGACAUUUGAGUUCUUAAAUUUUAUAGGCACAGCCUUGGCAGAACCUGCAGGUGACUGAUUUUUCCAUAAGCUGCUGUAAAACUGUCUUCCUCAUCUUCCUCUUGGAGGCAAUGACACCUACUUCUGUGGUGAUUUUCUUGAGUCACUUUUCCUCACGUCUAUCCUCUCCCUCUGAAAAAUUAGCAUAAUUGGUCACUCUGGGUUGUCCAGGCCACACUCUUGGACUCCUGAGUCAGGGUCCCCCUGUCUCUUUCUUAUCUGUGCCUGGGCAGGAACGGCCCUCAAAGCUUCCACUCCCUCCAGCCUCACUGCCUGAAGGGACACACGGCCCUCCAGGAUAUGGGGACAGGCAUAGCCCAGAAACCUCGCAAGCCCUGCAUUCUUUCAUAAAGCAAAUUAUAAAACUUCUUCAUUUACUUUAUGGUUGCUGUUGGUUAUUGCUCUAGUGGGGCUGGUGUCAAGACAGGCAUAUAGACCAAUGGGACAGAGUUAGGGAUACAGAAAUGGAUCAACACUUACAUGACUGAUUUUUUUCUGGCAAAGGCACCAACGAAAUUCAGUGUAGAAAGUAUGAUCUUCAACAAGUGGUGCUAGAAAAAAUGGGUAGCCAUAAGCAAAAAAAAAGCUUAAUCAUUACUGGACAUUAUAUAAAGAAUCAACUCAAAACAGAUUAUAGAUAGACGUAAAUGUAAGCGCUAAGACUACAGAACUCCUAGAAGAAAACAUAUGAUAUAUCUUAG